GGCGCGGUGGCGCGCGUGCGUAACUCGUUCCCGGGCCAUGGCUAGCUGGGUCGGGACCGAGCUCUCGGCGCUGAACCCGCUGCGCACGCUGUGGCUGGCGCUGGCCGCCGCCUUCCUGCUCGCAUUGCUCCUGCAGCUGGCUCCCGCCGGGCUGCUGCCGAACUGCGCGCUCUUUCAGGACCUCAUCCGCUACGGGAAGACCAAGCUGUCCGGCCCGCGGCGCCCCGCCGUCUGCAGGGCCUUCGACGUGCCCAAGAGGUAUUUUUCUCACUUCUACGUCGUCUCGGUGUUAUGGAACGGCUUCCUGCUCUGGUUCCUUUCUCGGUCUCUCUUCCUGGGAGCACCUUUUCCAAACUGGCUUCGAGCUUUGCUCAGAACUCUUGGAAGCACACAGUUCCGAGCACUGGAGAUGGAGUCCAAGGCCUCCCAAAUGCUAGUGGGUGAGCUGGCGCUGUCUGCCUUCUUGGUGCUGGUGUUCCUUUGGGUCCACAGUGUGCGGAGGCUCUUCGAGUGCUUUUACAUCAGUGUGUUCUCUAACGCGGUGAUGCAUGUCGUGCAGUACUGCUUCGGCCUUGUCUACUAUGUCCUAGUUGGCCUAACUGUACUGAGCCAAGUGCCCAUGGAUGACAAGAAUGUCUAUAUGCUGGGGAAGAAUCUGCUGCUACCGGCUCGGUGGUUCCACGUCCUCGGAAUGAUGAUGUUUCUCUGGUCGUCUGCCCAUCAGUAUGAGUGCCACGUCAUUCUCAGCAACCUCAGGAGAAACAAAAAAGGUGCCAUAGUUCACUGCCAGCACAGGAUCCCCUUUGGAGACUGGUUUGAAUAUGUGUCUUCGGCUAACUACCUGGCAGAGCUGAUGAUCUACAUCUCCAUGGCUGUCACCUUUGGGUUCCACAACUUCACUUGGUGGCUGGUGGUGGCAUAUGUCUUCUUCUGCCAAGCCUUGUCUGCCUUCUUCAACCACAAAUUCUACAAGAGCACAUUUGUCUCCUACCCAAAGCAUAGGAAAGCGUUCCUUCCAUUUUUGUUUUAAGGCAGCCUUUACGGGGAGGCAUGCAAGCCAGGGGACAGAUUCCAUUCCUGGAGACAACAACGAGCAUGCUGAAGGGUUAUUUAACAGGAACAGACUCAAAGACAGCUGCAUCACCAAAGCCCACCCUAGCAUGAGUGACAGCUCACAAAGCUGGGAAAACUGGAGGACACUGCACAGGCUGCAGGCAGCUCAGGGUUGGACAGUGUCCACUCCAGGCAGCUCAGCUGGUUUCUUCUUUCUCCAGUGAGCUCACCUUGUCAGUGUUUCUCAGCAGCCCUUACAUGUUAUUUAUUCCUGAGGCAGAGGGACCUACUGAAUCUGCUCAGUUCCAAGGACUUCCUGAAGCCAUUGAGGUGUUUCUUUCCUGAGUUCAAUGAACUUCCCUGCAGGAUGGAAUGUUCCAGCUCCCCGUAGACCAUCCUGCUGUUUCACCUCCCCUUUAUUAAUGACCUCCCCUUAAAACAGAAGGUUUAACUCUUGGGCUCACUGCUGUCUAGCACACAUGCUAAUCCAAAUCCACCCUGAAGCGCCUAUGUGUAUUGUGAUGCUGUGUUUUCUCGACCAUCAGUCAACUCACCAUUUACUCAAGAUUAAUUAUUUGUUCUGUCCAAAUAAAUGAGGUUUAUCAUUUAUCAUUUAUAAUUUGCUGUCUUUGGGACCAGGGCUCAGGAACAAAACUCUUCCAACAUAGGAGAUGUAUGUAAAUCACAUGUCGGUUUGUUUUUAACACCCACAUGAAUGACACGCAUGAUUUUAAAUAAAUAGUUUAAAGGAAA